AUUUGAUUUUGACUUGUUUUUCAG
rnacentral:piRNA from 1 species